UGCCAUAAGAUGAGCCCAAGUGGGAUUAGGUAGUUGGUGGGGUAAAGGCCUACCAAGCCGACGAUCUCUAGCUGGUCUGAGAGGAUGACCAGCCACACUGGAACUGAGACACGGUCCAGACUCCUACGGGAGGCAGCAGUGGGGAAUAUUGCACAAUGGGGGGAACCCUGAUGCAGCCAUGCCGCGUGAAUGAAGAAGGCCUUCGGGUUGUAAAGUUCUUUCGGUGAUGAGGAAGGGUGAUGUUUUAAUAGAGCAUUACAUUGACGUUAGUCACAGAAGAAGCACCGGCUAACUCCGUGCCAGCAGCCGCGGUAAUACGGAGGGUGCGAGCGUUAAUCGGAAUGACUGGGCGUAAAGGGCACGCAGGCGGUGACUUAAGUGAGAUGUGAAAGCCCCGAGCUUAACUUGGGAAUUGCAUUUCAUACUGGGUUGCUAGAGUAUUUUAGGGAGGGGUAGAAUUCCACGUGUAGCGGUGAAAUGCGUAGAGAUGUGGAGGAAUACCGAAGGCGAAGGCAGCCCCUUGGGAAAAUACUGACGCUCAUGUGCGAAAGCGUGGGGAGCAAACAGGAUUAGAUACCCUGGUAGUCCACGCUGUAAACGCUGUCGAUUUGGGGAUUGGGCUUUAUGUUUGGUGCCCGUAGCUAACGUGAUAAAUCGACCGCCUGGGGAGUACGG
rnacentral:rRNA from 1 species